CAUCUUCAGUAGAUGCCACCGUCCUAGUUGAGUUUUGGACAAGAGAGAAUUAGGAUGCUUUCUUUUUGUUUCCAGGGAAAAAAGAGGGUUUCUUUUUAAGUAAUUUGGGGGAUCCAAGGCUUGGGAAAAAAACAUUCGACAGCACCACCACUACCUUUGUAUUCUCGUUUCAUUAAUGGAUGCUGACAUUCUAAAGACCGCAGGCUGCUUUCUUUAAUUUCAGUAUCACUAUAUAUUAUAUACACCGAUCUCCCGGCAGGCAAGUGGCAUGCGAUAGAG
rnacentral:misc_RNA from 1 species